AUUGAACGCUGGCGGCAUGCUUUACACAUGCAAGUCGAACGGUAACAGGCCGCAAGGUGCUGACGAGUGGCGAACGGGUGAGUAAUGCAUCGGAACGUGCCCAGUCGUGGGGGAUAACUACUCGAAAGAGUAGCUAAUACCGCAUACGAUCUAUGGAUGAAAGCGGGGGACCGUAAGGCCUCGCGCGAUUGGAGCGGCCGAUGUCAGAUUAGGUAGUUGGUGGGGUAAAGGCUCACCAAGCCAACGAUCUGUAGCUGGUCUGAGAGGACGACCAGCCACAGGGGGACUGAGACCGGGCCCAGCCCCCCAGGGGGGGCAGAGGGGGGGAAUUUUGGAAAAGGGGCGCAAGCCUGUCCCAGAAAUGCCGGGGGGAGGAAGAAGGCCUGCGGGUUGGAAACUGUUUUUGUAGGGAAAAAAAGGGCUCUGGUUAAAACCCGGGGCUAAGGCGGGAACCGAAAAAAAAACCCCCGGCAACUUACGG
rnacentral:rRNA from 1 species